GAUGAACGCUGGCGGCGUGCCUAAUACAUGCAAGUCGAACGAAGGGACCAAACGCUUGAGUCGCUGUUGCUAGCGACGGACGGGUGAGUAACACGUGGAUAACCUAUCUCUCUGACAGAGAUAACUUCAAGAAGCCGGAGCUCAUACCGCAUCAUAUCUUGAACCGCGUGGUUCAAGAGUGGCAGAAGGUAUUGCUGUCACUUAUAGAUGGGGCCGCGCUGCAUUAGGUAGUUGGUAAGGUAAAGGACUACCAAGGCAACGAUGCAUAGCCGAAGUGAGAGGGUGAUCGCCCACACUGGAACGGGGACGCGGUCCCGACUCCUGCGGGAGGCAGCAGUAUGGAAUCUUCCGCAAUGGGCGAGAGCCUGACGGAGCAACGGCGCGUGAGUGAUGACGGUCUUCGGAUCGUAAAACUCUGUUAUUAGGGAAGAACAUAUGUGUAAGUAACUGUGCACAUCUUGACGGUACCUAAUCAGAAAGCCACGGCUAACUACGUG
rnacentral:rRNA from 1 species